rnacentral:lncRNA from 1 species
UGAACAAAAAGCACACUUAAUCAGAAAUUUGAUAAAACAAAAGGUCAAUCAGGCAAAAAUCUCUUUUUUAAAAAAAAAAUUUCUUAUGUUCAAAACCUACAUCAUGAAUUAGGAAAAUAUAGAGCAACUCACAAUCCACAAUAUAUUUAGCAAAAUAUUUUGAAUUGCCAAUGCAAUACAUAAAAAUAGGGAUCAUCAGUUGGCAUCUGCAAGCAUGCAAACCAAAGAGUGAAUACAUACAUCAAGUUUCCUUUUGGAGGGGGAAGUGGUGGAGGCGGCCCUUGUGGAGGGGGAACUGGUGGAUGCGGCCCUUGUGGAGGGGGUCCUUCCUCUUGUAGAGGGGGACCUGGUGGAGGGGCCCCUUGUGGAGGAGGAACUGGUAGAGGGGGCCCAACAUGUGGAUUUGCCUCUGAUAUGCCUCCUGCAACUAAAAUUAGGUUCUCAUACCUAACAGAAAUAAAGGACAGUUAAUCAGAAAUUAGAUAAAAUUAAAGUCAAUAUGGCAAGAAUCUUAAAGUCAAUAUGGCAAGAAUCUUUUGUUUGUAUGCUCAAUGCAAACAUCAUUAAUUAGGAAAAUAAAGAGCGACUCCCAAUCCAUGUUAUAUUUAGCAAAAUAUUUUGAAACAGAAGUAAGAUAAUGGCCAAUGCAGUACGUAAAAAUGGGGAUCAUCGGUUGCCAUCUACAAGCACGCAAACCAAGGAGUGAGUACAUACAUCAAAUUUCUAACAGGUCCUUGUGGAGGAUGCACUGGUGGAGGGUGUCCUUCUGGAGGAGGAACUGGUGGAGGGGGCCCUACUUGUGAAUCUGACUCUGAUUUGCUCAAUAUAUAAUCCCUUAAAUUUUCUGUCCAUUCUCCAAGAACCUUUAUGAGAACAG